UACGUAGGGGGCUAGCGUUGUCCGGAAUCAUUGGGCGUAAAGAGCGCGUAGGCGGCUAGAUAAGUCCGGUGUGAAAGUCACAGGCUCAACCUGUGAAUGCCGCUGGAAACUGUCUGGCUAGAGUCCGGAAGGGGCGAGUGGAAUUCCUGGUGUAGCGGUGAAAUGCGCAGAUAUCAGGAGGAACACCGAUGGCGAAGGCAGCCUCCUGGGAUGACACUGACGCUCAUACACGAAAGCGUGGGGAGCAAACAGG
rnacentral:rRNA from 1 species